AGCACUUAUGUGUGGUUUUGCCCAGCUGAUGGACAAAGGCAAGGUUAUACAGGUACAAAAUAAAUCCUCCUUUGCAACCCAGAACUCACUACUCAGUAUGAGUUUUGAUACAUACAAGAAAGAAUAUA
ensembl:snoRNA